rnacentral:rRNA from 1 species
GUAUCUUAGUGGAUGAUCACUUGGUUCAUGUCAAUGAAUGUAGCUUGCUGUGAAAAUUAAUGUAAAUUGUAGGACACAUUGAUCAUUGACACUUCAAAGGCACUUACAGCCCAGGGUUCCUCCUGAGGCUUAUUUUUAAAAUGGGAUA